rnacentral:misc_RNA from 1 species
CCUUUUUCUGUCACUGUCCUUUACCAAUCCUCUACUCAAACGCCUUGUGUGCGUACUUUUGACUAUGAGCUUUGCUGCCUGUGAAAGCCACUACCCACCAUCGAAGAUAAGAAAACCCAUCUGAUCAAAGCAAGAAAGUGACGCCCCCCUAAUUUUCCUUUGUCCCACCACUAACUAAUCUAUACAGUACAUGCAUUAGUUUAACACCAAAAAAAUAAAAAAUUUUCCCCCAAGCUGCUUGUGAUUACAUUGAAUAUGUUACUUUGUCAUAAAUACAAAAACGAAUAAUAAUAUAUAUAAUUACGAGUCAAUAAACANNNNACCCACCCGUCCAGUUUGUAUCAAACUAUGUCAUCACCAAUAUAACCAUUUUCUGAUGAGGAGGUUGAGACAGUGAUCAUGCCAUUGCAGUCAGACACACUGUCCUGCA